rnacentral:rRNA from 1 species
AUUCAAGUAAUUAAGUGCUAAAGGCGGAUGCCUUGGCAUCUAGAGGCGAUGAAGGACGUUGUAACUUGCGAUAAGCCCCGGUGAGCCAGUACACAGGCUACGACCCGAGGAUUUCCGAAUGGGGAAACCCGACAUUUAUGUCACCACUUUUGUGGAGCAAACCCGGAGAACUGAAACAUCUUAGUAACCGGAGGAAAAGAAAUCAAUUGAGAUUCCGUUAGUAGUGGCGAGCGAAA